GGGGGGGGGGGGGGGGGGGGGGGGGGGGGGGGGGGGGGGGGGGGGGGGCGGGGGUAGGGGGGCACGGGGGCGUAGCGCGGGGGGACCUGCCCUUAGGUUCGGAAUAACUCCCCGAAAGGGGUGCUGAUACCGGAUAAUGUCUUCGGACCAAAGAUUUAUCGCCUUUGGAUGGGCCCGCGUUGGAUGAGCUAGUUGGUAGGGUAAAAGCCUACCAAGGCGACGAUCCAUAGCUGGUCUGAGAGGAUGAUCAGCCACACUGGGACUGAGACACGGCCCAGACUCCUACGGGAGGCAGCAGUGGGGAAUAUUGGACAAUGGGCGAAAGCCUGAUCCAGCAAUGCCGCGUGAGUGAUGAAGGCCUUAGGGUUGUAAAGCUCUUUUACCCGGGAUGAUAAUGACAGUACCGGGAGAAUAAGCUCCGGCUAACUCCGUG
rnacentral:rRNA from 1 species